GGCCUCCUAAAGUGCUGGGAUUAUAGGCAUGAGCCACCGCACCUGGCCUGUUUUUGUUUUUGAAUUUUGAAAUUUCUCAAUGUCUCUGUAGCAGAGACAUUAAGCUUCUUAAUGGCCUCUGUAGCAGAAGCCAUGGAAACACUCGAGGGCAGCACACUUGGUGUUUCUUUCAGCGGAUGAUUCUGUGUAUACAGUAGGAGCUGCGUGAUGAUCCACAGCCCUCCACACAUCACCCAAUGUUAGCCUGUUUUCCCGCACUCGGCUGCUUUGGGAAAAUCAACUUUUGUCCCUGAGUCUUUGAGAAGAGCUGACCCCCAGGAUCCUGAAGAUGCUCAAUGACUCAGUGAUUCAAAGGAAAACAUACUGUCCAAAACCGAAAUGCAUCCUUCCCUCAGAAUAGGCCCCCUCUCUAGGCCCUGGCAUUUGGAGUUCAAUACCUGCCUUUACCUGUGAAAAAUACCAUGGUGUCACUGUUGACAGUUAGUAAGAGGCUCAUAUUUCAGCAUGCUACAAUGAUGUGUUCGUUUAUUCCCUAUUAUACAUUUUCUAUUUAAAUGAGUAUCUGUCCUACUCCAAAAGUUGGUUCUGCCCUUAUAGUCUUAUCCAGUGGUUUUGUUGAUCACUGGAUAUUCAGAAAAGCAGCAAAUGUCUUCUGCCCAGUGUGGAAGAGGGGCUGAGGUCAGAGGAGUGUCGAGUGGGAAAAUAGAAGUGUUCAAGUGUUCGCAAUUUUCGUUAGCAUCUUGCUUUCAUCUUUCAGAGCUGUGGUUAGGCGUGCUCAGCCGGAGGUUGAUUGAUUGAUCUCUCUAAACCAUCUGAUGGGCAUGAGGAUGAGAAAAGGGAUACCUUUAGUUGACCAAAAGAUUAGCUUCAAAACAGGAGAACUGUCAGAUAAAACAGAAUGCCGUUGACAGCAACAAGGAAGCAGACACAGCGCAAACCCAGGUCAGCAAGGUGCCUGCAGACUGACAAGCAGCUGUUUGGGAUGAAGGAAAGCAGAGUUCAAAAAUAUACCCAGCAGGAAGCCAUUUGGAAGAACAGCUUCAGAGGGUCUGCUUUCACGUGGAAGCGUGCGGGGUUGCAGCCACGCAGGGGACACUGCAUCGCAGCCUCGCCAUGUGAGCUGCCCCUGCCAGUGCUGGAGUCAGGGCCAGUGGUCGCCUUGCCCUGCGCCUUCCCGGACAGCUGCGGCCUCUGUCACUCACGUGACUGGCUGUGGAACACAGUGACAGUGAGUGUGACCUAAAAGGCCAUGCUUCUCCAGGUAGACAUUCCUGAAGCCACAGGCUGAGUCGGCAGUGAGCUCACAAGAGAGGAGCAGGCACUGCAGGGGAAGGCAGCUGGCAGUGCUGAACUUACAGAAACCCAGCCUCACGUAAACCCCUAGGGCCUACCGUGGUGCCCUCCUGGGCUCUAGAUGUGGGGAUAAGAUAGAAACCACUCACUAGCAUGGGCCAUAUCUUCCAACUGUCCUUUCGGAGGGGAAGAAGUAUCCCAAAAGAGUGAUGGACCUCCCGAUUCCUGGACGCCAGGCCAGUUGGUGAAAGCCAACCCAUCAGGCUGCUAAGUUUACCAAAUCUGCUCUUUUACCCAAAGUGUGACUUUUUAAACUAUUUCUGAAGUUUAUAGUCAAUCAUAUUUUAAUAAACAGAAAAGUUUUUAACAGCUUUGGAUGCUUUUAGUUGAUUAGUUUCCAUUUUGAUUUCACAAUGGCAUUUUCAGAACAUUUGGUGUUUCUCUUCUCAAGCUCCCUGCUUCUCUGCUUUGGGGAGUUAGUGCCAAGAGAGGGGGCCCCUCAGCUUCAGGAGACAUAGAGAAGAAUCCAUGCAAAGCACAGGCUUGGCCUCUGCUAAGGCCCCCCCACACCCUUAGCACACAGUGGAAAUGGGCAUCUCUGCAGAUGGAUCUUGGCAAGCAGAGCCAGCCGGGCACUUUUGUGCAGUGUACAACCUACAUGACCAUACCCAGCACCCCCAGGAUGCCACACUCAGAGAAACUCAGAAGAGGGGAAGAACAAGGAUCAGGGAAAGGAGAGUGACUGAAUGUCAGAGAGAUGGAGUAGCAUGAAGGUCAGAAGGAGAAGGGAGAGAGACUGGUCAGAAAAAGAGGGGAGGUGACGAGUCAGAGAAGGCUGGAGCGGAUGGCAGAGGUGGGGGUGCAGACAGGGAGAACAUGGAGGCCUCAGAGACCCUGGGGCCCUCACAGCCCUUGGGGUCCUGCCAAUCCUUCCAGUAAAAAUUGCUAUAAACUUUAGAAGAGUUUAAAGGUGACAAGAUCUUAAAACUCAGAAAAUUUGACAAAUUGUUGGUUGGCCAGAUUGGUUAUCCACUGGUUGAUUUUUGGUGAGCUGACCUGUUUCAAGGUGGCAGGUGUGGAUGGGGCUCCGUCCAGGGCCGGCCCCUUACACCCACGUUCCGAUUACCCUGAGGUCAUGGGACUGUGCCACUGUGCCAGGGGCCCCAGACUGUAUCCACUGGCCCCCAAAUGACUGGCUUCCCUGGCUUCAACACAUGGAGGCUGCUUGGUGUGGUGGGGGUGGGGAGCUGUUGCUGUCACUUGAGGCAGAGAGAGAAGGAAGCCUGGCAGGGUGCCAUGCUGGCACGGUGUGCCAGUCAAACCACAUGGCACCACGCAGUAGGGUGCAAGCGUAUCUGAGGUCAGUGGCUGUUUGUAUUUAAGGAUCUAGUUCUUUUUUAGAAAUAAAGUUAAAAUAGGUUUUUACUCUGGAUCUUCCUGAGCCUUGUUUAUUGCAGCCUGUGGGUGGUUAAAGGGAGACCGUGAACCUGCAUCCAGCCCAGAACCUUCUAUCUUGAUUGGUAUGGGUUGAACUAGAUUCACCAAACACUCUUACAUUAAAGUCCUAACCCCCAGUACCUCAGACUUUGGAAAUAGGCUUAAAAUGAGGUUCUGGUAGGUAAGUAGGAUGGGCCCAUAAUCCCAUAUGAUUGGUGCCCUUUUUAGAGGAAGGAAUUUGGGCACAGACAUGCACACAGGGGAAGCGCCUUGUCAAGUUUGGAGUUCAGCUGCCUCAGCCCAGGAGCUACCAGAAGCCAGGGAAGGCCUCGAACAGACGCUCCCCCAGCACCUUCAGAGGGCAUGUGGCUCUGCUGUCUCCUUGAUUUCAGUCUCCAGAACUGUGGGAUAGUCAUUUUUUAUUGCUCAGAGUCACCCAGUUUGUGGUAGUUUGUUUUAGGCGCCUGGCAAGCUAGCAACUAUGAUUUCUGAAAGGAAGGAGUCUUCUUGUCAGUUAAGGCCACACGGAUUGAUUAACCAGACUUCUUACUAUUCAACUCACCUGUUUUUUGUUUUUAGAUUCUCCUUUUAGUUUCAUGAGACGUCUCUAUUAUUUUAUUUCCAGAUUCUCCAUUUGAGUAGAGGAUUUGCUUAGAAAUAUAAUACUUUUCAUGCAGUGUGGCCCUGUGUCUACAUUUUUUUAUUUUAGUUUUUAUUUUUUGUGGGUACCUAGUAAGUGUACGUAUUUAUGGGGAACAUGAGCUAUUUUGAUACUGGCAACCUGUGCCUGCAUUUACGUGCUUAAUGAUAUCUUUGCCGAAGGUUUCUGUGGGGAGAGGGGGUUGUUGACAUCGUAGCAUCUGAUAGAAGUUCCAGGGCUGGAUUCGGGUCACUUUGCUUCUUGCUUUUAUUCUGCUUUUUAUUCAUCAAAUAACGCAGUACCCCUCAGCAGUCUUUGCAGAGCCCGGGACUAACUUGUACCACUACAAACAUUCAAAACCUGAAAUAUUUUUCCAAUUUUCAGAAAACAAAGUUGCCAGUAUUCUAUUCAUUUGUGUUUACCCACCCCCCCAGAUUGCCUCAAAAUCUUGACUUCUUCUACUGUUUUCCACUUGAAUCUUAUAGAAAGGUAAUCUGAUUUGGCACAAAAUUAUAAAAAUUACUCAUUUCUCAGUUUAACGUAUCAAUACACACCCCUGUUCUGCCAGGAUCCCACGUGGGGCCCACCACCUGAAUGAGUUUGAAAGCAGCAGGGAAGACACCAUGUUUAUACCCUGGGCCUGCAGACACGCACUGCUUACCAGCCCCUCCAAGCCUGGAAGGAAGGGAAGCCUGGGCCCCGCGGACCCCUGCACCUGCCAAGCGCUGCCUGACCUGAGUCCCACCCUGCCCUGCUUUUUCGGCUUUCACUGCUGUGGAAGCAGAGAUAUCAUAGGGAGAGGUCAGUCACAAACUGCCCUUCCACACAAACAGCAAAGUCACUCAGUAGGGCUUCACUGGUAGACUUUCACAAUUAAUACCUUAUGAUUCCCUGUGGGUUUUUUUAAAAAUUGCUUUUAUUAGUCUCAGCUUAAAGACAGGGUUCAGAAAUCAGACAUCAGCCUGAAUAGGUGCUUAGGCCAGACACUCCCGACACAGAUGCACCAUCAACGUGGAGAAAGCAAGGAUGUGGUGCCCCUGACUUUUUGGCUUUCCGAGCCCAGUAUGGCUCUGAGACGCCCAGGGCUCCACACAUGAGUGCUUUCUCCAUGGCCUGAAACUCCCGAUGGCCUCCCAUUCACUUGGGUGCAGCAGGCAGGGAGCCCAGCAAAGCCCAUGUGAAUGAUCUCAAAAUACCUCAAAAAUUACCAAAUAGAGGUAAUUACACGAAGCAGUGUGUGAAAUGAGCACAGUGAGGACCUAAAACAGCUGAUUAGCAUGCUAAAUGGCCAUUUUGUAAGUUUAAUGAAGUAAGACAUCAUUUGACACAGGAACAAAUAAAACAAUCGAAAAACACUCUGUUCACAGGAGAGACCUCACUGGCUUCCCUCUCCCAGAGCCAGGGUGUCUCCUGCACCUAUGGGCAGCACGUAUAAAGUGCUCUUAGCUAAUCUGUGCUCUUUGCUCAAAAGGGUCUUCAUUUUCUCUUAAAGGGUCACUACUGUGUCCCCAGCUCUGGGUCAGAUGUCCCGCUUUCUUGGGCACAGUAAGGUAAACAGUUUUGAAUGGUGCCAUGAAAUUCUUCUAGGGUCUUUUUAUAUCUUCUGAGCCCAGUGCUAGCCUUAAAAAACCACAAAGCACUGCCAAGAAAUGGCACAUUUGGCAAACGACAGGGCCUCGAAACCUGCUCACUGUGAAUCGGGUGCCAGACAGUUGCCAGUAGCCUAUAGUCCUCCCUGGAGAUGUCUCUUAACUGAUGUGGCUAGAAGAGUGAACUGAUCGUUACCACAAAAGAAGUUUCCAGAGGGCCGGGGUGCACACACUGGAGCUGAUGCCACUCAUCUCUUGCAAAUUCCCACCUUUGAAACUGGAGGUGAGUUCAGAUGUGGGGCUGCCUGUCACGCCUGUGGCUCUCAUGACAUCUGACUGCCCUGUCCCUGUCUAUUGAUUUAAAGAGG